GCCCUCUGGGCGUAGUCGGCAGCGCGUCAGUCUUAUAAUCUGAAGGUCCUGAGUUCGAGCCUCAGGGAGGGCA